rnacentral:rRNA from 1 species
UACGGGGGGUGCGAGCGUUGUCCGGAAUCACUGGGCGUAAAGGGCGCGUAGGUGGCAUGAUAAGGGUGUGGUGAAAGCCCGGGGCUCAACCCCGGGUCUGCCAUGCCGACUGUCACGCUAGAGUACUGUAGGGGCAGGCGGAAUUCCCGGUGUAGUGGUGGAAUGCGUAGAUAUCGGGGGGAAUACCAGUGGCGAAAGCGGCACCCUAGCGUUAGCCUGACGCUCAUGUGCGAAAGCGUGGGGAGCGAACGGG